rnacentral:tRNA from 1 species
GUGCCUGUGGCUCAAAGGGGUAGGGCGCUGGCCCCAUAUGCCAGAGGUGGUGGGUUCAAACCCAGCCCUGGCCA